GACGAACGCUGGCGGCGUGCUUAACACAUGCAAGUCGAACGGAAAGGCCCUGCUUUUGUGGGGUGCUCGAGUGGCGAACGGGUGAGUAACACGUGAGUAACCUGCCCUUGACUUUGGGAUAACUUCAGGAAACUGGGGCUAAUACCGGAUAGGAGCUCCUGCUGCAUGGUGGGGGUUGGAAAGUUUCGGCGGUUGGGGAUGGACUCGCGGCUUAUCAGCUUGUUGGUGGGGUAGUGGCUUACCAAGGCUUUGACGGGUAGCCGGCCUGAGAGGGUGACCGGCCACAUUGGGACUGAGAUACGGCCCAGACCCCUACGGGAGGCAGCAGUGGUGAAUAUUGCACAAUGGGCGGAAGCCUGAUGCAGCAACGCCGCGUGCGGGAUGACGGCCUUCGGGUUGUAAACCGCUUUCGCCUGUGACGAAGCGUGAGUGACGGUAAUGGGUAAAGAAGCACCGGCUAACUACGUG
rnacentral:rRNA from 1 species